UCCUCAACCUUUUCUCACCUCUCACAACCUCUCAUUCACUCACCUCUCACGACCUCGUCAAUCUUAACCCUCGUCACCCUCGAUGAAUGUCUCUCAAAAUCUCGAACUCAAUCAAGUAAUAAAGCAAUGGCUGAACAAAAACUAACCUUCGGCGGUGACAACGGCAACGAUGAAGCUCACAGGGUUACAAAUUGGUGCCCUUGUGUUCAAAAGUAACUCUGCAAAGCACUUUGGAUGCUCAGAAAUUGGAUUUACCUUUUCCAUGUUAGAUUCAAGAAAAGGCUAGUGGAUUUGGACUAGGUAUACUUGCAGUAUUUCUUCAUGAUGCAUGGCAAUAAGGAUUCAAAAUAAGACCAUUGUAAUAUAGUAGUGGAAACAGGGUCUGCUGAUGUUUUUGUUCAGUAGGUUCGACCCUGCUCAACUUGCCUCUGCAACUUGAUUUUGCAACAUGAUACUUGCUCCAGGAUCAAAUUUCUACCGGCUAGUUCCAAUGUCCAUUUCUUUGCUUUAUGGGUAUCGCGGUUCAUGGUUGUUGCAUUGCUUUGGUGGUACAAGUUUGUUCAAAUGGAAUUGCUUCAAAUCAUUUGCUCUAAGUUCAGUCAUCACGCCAUGACCUUAUGGAAUUCAAGUUUUGAUUUGGCAGCUGCGGGACCAUGAUGACAGGAUGCUAGUACAAGGUAUGUCAAGGACCAGUUCAGCAAGGUAAAGAUUGGUUGUCAAGGCAAAGGAUCCAAGUCAUGGUAUAAUGGUCAUGAAUAUGAAAAUGAGCUAAGUUACUUGGAAAUGAAGAAACAAGGGAAAACACAACCAACAUGGUUGUUGGAUGAUGAAUUAAGGCAAAGUAGCAUGGGAUUAGGUCCAAGUUUGGGAAAUUUAUUGAAUGUCUUUGGUAUUUUGCAGGGUGUUGUUAUGUUAACACAAGUUGGCGGCUAACUUCAACUUUUACUUCACCAUUCCGCUUCUGUUUUGAUAGGAACAACUGUUGGUUUUGACGGUGUGCAUCAUCUAUAUGUGCUACAUGAGAUGCUUUGGAUUUUUGCUUGGGAUGCUUUGCCGGUGUGUGAACUGUUUUGUGAGCUGCUAGCAGCGGUUUAGGUUUAGUAUGGCAGGGGUAUUUUUUUACAGCAUUUUGGCAAUUACACUAUUCGUUUCACAUUGCCAAUCUAUUGUAGAUUGGUUAGUCAAGCGCCAUUACGGCUACUGAAUUAGUAUCGCAAGUACCGCUGCCUUUGGGCUACCUCAUUGUGUUGUAUAGCUUUUGAUUUGGGUUUUCCAGGAACCGCAUAGGUUACCUUGUGGGUUUCACUGCAGGUUUCCGUGUUGCUUUUGUUGCUGUUGUUGAGAUUGCAUCUGAAGCUUAUGUCUCAAAAGCUGUUGGUUGUACAGAUACUGUUGUGGAUUCUGUGACUGUUGCUGCUGUUGUUGAGGAACAACUUGCUGCCUCCCUUGCAUUUGUCUCUGGGAAGCAUUAAACAUAUUUUGAAUGUUGGAAAUUUGAAUGUUUGAAUUCUGGCCAACAUUCGGGAUGGGAGCCUGGGCUAGACCAGAUACAGGUGGAAGGUUGGGCUGAGAUGCAAUAUUAUUUUGAAUGUUUUGAGAUAGAAGCUGUUGGCGUGGCUGCGGCUGAUUGGGCAAAGGAAUAGGAUGCUGCUGCCCUUGAUUGUGAACUUGAGACUGCAUAGCAUCCUGUAAAAUAUGCUUCACAUUAUAACCUUGCUUUUAUUUAUUCAUUGUUUCACUUAUGAUCAAACUGCUAUGGAACUGUUCUCGUGCUUUUGUUUCAUCGUUCUGGUUAAGCUUCCCAGGUGAACCUUGUCUUGUUUCCCUCUUGAUUUUGGUCGAAACUUUCACUUUCCAUACACACCGCCGGUAUUUGCUUGCAGUGACUUUGGGUUGGAACAGCGGGGAUAUCGAUUUAACUUGGCAUGUUGUUGCUGCAGGUUCUAUGUUGAUUUCUGACUUAGAUUUCUAUGUGUGGCAUGAGCUGUUUUGAUGCCUUGCUAGAUAUGUAUUGGUUGCAUUGCUUGCUGCAGUUUGUUGUUUGAUGGCAGGUUGGAGGCUUUGGCUAGGUGAUGUGGUGUACUGUGAGUAGGGAACUUGGUUGCACUUUCCAUGAGCACAUUCCUGUGGUGCUGCUGCAGUUUAUUAUUUGGUGGCUAUGUGGAGUAGCAACUGGUGUUAGGAUCAUGUGGUAACAGAUUUUUUGUUGUAAAAUGGUACAGGUUAGGAAUGACCAUUGAAAAUUCAUGGUUUUGGAGUUUUGAAUUGGUUUGUUCAAUGGGACUUACUUGCAAAUGAAGUAAACAAGAAAAAUCAUCAACAAACAUGAAGAUUGGAUGACACAAUGAAACAAAGGGCCAGGCCAAGUUUGGAUAGUCAAGAGCAAGU